rnacentral:rRNA from 1 species
AUUGAACGCUGGCGGCAGGCCUAACACAUGCAAGUCGUGCGGAGCGGCGGACGGGUGAGUAAUGCCUAGGAAUCUGCCUGGUAGUGGGGGAUAACGUCCGGAAACGGGCGCUAAUACCGCAUACUAUCAGAUGAGCCUAGGUCGGAUUAGCUAGUUGGUGGGGUAAAGGCCGACCAAGGCGACGAUCCGUAACUGGUAUGAGAGGAUGAUCAGUCACACUGUAACUGAGACACGUUCCAGACCCCUACGGGAGCGUGCAGUGGGGAGUAUUGAACGAUGGGCGAAAGCCGGACCCAGCCAUGCGGCGUGUGUGAUGAAGGUCUUCGGAUUGUAAAGCACUUUAAGUUGGGAGGCGUUACCAACAGAAUAAGCACCGGCUAACUUCGUGCCAGCCGCCGCGGUAAUAC